UACGUAGGGCCCGAGCAUUAUCCGGAAUUAUUGGGCGUAAAGAGCGUGUAGGUGUUCCUACAAGUCGGUCGUUAAAUCUCAGAGCUCAACUCUGAGGCCGCGAGCGAAACUGUAGGAAUUGAGGUUUACAGGGGCAAGCAGAAUUUCUGGAGUAGGGGUGAAAUCCGUUGAUACCAGAAGGAAUACCAAUGGCGAAGGCAGCUUGCUGGGUAACACCUGACACUGAGACGCGAAAGCGUGGGGAGCAAACGGG
rnacentral:rRNA from 2 species